rnacentral:rRNA from 1 species
AACGGCGAGUGAAGCGGUAACAGCUCAAAUUUGAAAUCUGGCCUCACGGUCCGAGUUGUAAUUUGUAGAGGAUGCUUCGAGCAUGGUCUGGCCUAAGUUCCUUGGAACAGGACGUCAUAGAGGGUGAGAAUCCCGUAUGCGGCCAGGUGCCUACGCUCAUGUGAAGCUCCUUCGACGAGUCGAGUUGUUUGGGAAUGCAGCUCAAAAUGGGUGGUAAAUUUCAUCUAAAGCUAAAUAUUGGCCAGAGACCGAUAGCGCACAAGUAGAGUGAUCGAAAGAUGAAAAGCACUUUGGAAAGAGAGUUAAACAGUACGUGAAAUUGUUGAAAGGGAAGCGCUUGCAACCAGACUUGCGCGCGGCCGAUCAUCCGGUGUUCUCACCGGUGCACUCGGCCGUGCUCAGGCCAGCAUCGGUUUUGGCGGCUGGAUAAAGGCCCUAGGAAUGUGGCUCCUCUCGGGGAGUGUUAUAGCCUAGGGUGCAAUGCAGCCUGCUGGGACCGAGGACCGCGCUUCGGCUAGGAUGCUGGCGUAAUGGUUGUAAGCGGCCCGUCUUGAAACACGGACCAAGGAGUCUAACAUCUAUGCGAGUGUUUGGGUGUCAAACCCAUACGCGUAAUGAAAGUGAACGGAGGUGAGAACCCUUAAGGGUGCAUCAUCGACCGGUCCUGAAGUUUACGGAAGGAUCUGAGUAAGAGCAUAGCUGUUGGGACCCGAAAGAUGGUGAACUAUGCCUGAAUAGGGUGAAGCCAGAGGAAACUCUGGUGGAGGCUCGCAGCGGUUCUGACGUGCAAAUCGAUCGUCAAAUUU